AACGCACAUUGCGCCCAUUAGUAUUCUAGUGGGCAUGCCUGUUCGAGCGUCAUUUCAACCCUUAAGCUUAGCUUAGUAUUGGGAAUCUGCUUAACCGCAGCUCCUUAAAUCUAGUUGGCAGAGCACAGCUGUACUCUGAGCGUAGUAAUUCAUUAUCUCGCUUUCUGAAGACAGUCGUACGAUCGCCACAAACCUAUUUAUUUUUUAAUGGUUGACCUCGGAUCAGGUAGGAAUACCCGCUGAACUUAA
rnacentral:misc_RNA from 1 species